GACGAACCGUGCGAACGUUGUUCGGAAUCACUGGGCUUAAAGGGCGCGUAGGCGGUUGAUCCAGUCUGGGGUGAAAUCUUUCGGCUUAACCGGAAAAGUGCCUUGGAUACUGGUCAGCUGGAGGGAGGUAGGGGCAGUUGGAACUUCCAGUGGAGCGGUGAAAUGCGUUGAUAUUGGAAGGAACGCCGGUGGCGAAAGCGGCGCACUGGAUCUCUACUGACGCUGAGGCGCGAAAGCCAGGGGAGCAAACGGG
rnacentral:rRNA from 1 species